rnacentral:rRNA from 1 species
UACGAAGGGGGCUAGCGUUGUUCGGAAUUACUGGGCGUAAAGCGCGCGUAGGCGGGUCUUUAAGUCAGGGGUGAAAUGCCAAGGCUCAACCUUGGAACUGCCUUUGAUACUGGAGAUCUUGAGUCCGGAAGAGGUGAGUGGAACUGCGAGUGUAGAGGUGAAAUUCGUAGAUAUUCGCAAGAACACCAGUGGCGAAGGCGGCUCACUGGCCCGGAACUGACGCUGAGACGCGAAAGCGUGGGGAGCAAACAGG